rnacentral:lncRNA from 1 species
AUGCUCCAAUCAGCUCCUGCUGCAGCUCUAGCCUGUGAGGACCUCCUUAAGCCCAUGGAUCCACCACGACUAGACCAGCAGCUCUUGAGGAAAUGGGCCCUCGUCGCAGGCAGCCUGAGCCACCCUGCAUCCCUGGAGAGUCUCAAGACCAGAGACGGCAUCACCAUGGAGUUUUCACCCUCUACCCCCAACACCACCCAGAACUCCAACACCACCACAACCGUCCACUACACCCAGACUAACCGUUUCGGCAGCCGAUGCGAGUCACUAACCUACAAUAUCUCACUCCUCAACGACAACAGCACCUUCCAGUUCGACGUGGGGGGCCGAUUCAACCUCACUGGGGUCUUCCUGGAGACCUCCUGCCCAGACUGUCUGGUGGGAGGUGAGCUCCAGGAGGAGGGAGUCCACGGACCUGUACCUGCUGAGGAAGACGGAGGGUGGGAGAGAGGUGGAGGAAGAGGAGAUGGAAGAGUUCAGGAAACAGGUGGAGUGUAUGGGGCUGCCGCCGCCAGUGGUGAUGGAGCCGGGGGAUGCCCUCUGUGGUUCCCAUCAGCUCCCCUGGAAACACUGAGGAGGAGGAGGAGAAGACGAAGCUCGAUCAGAGUGAUCAGAGAGGUGGGGCCGUGAGACCGAUGUAGAGACACGUUUUCUGUCGUCUGUGUUGUAAUCCAACAUUUCCGUGUUUACUGUUGUCGAUGACCUGUAGAAUUUUGAGGGGGGGAAAAGAUGCACGAUUUGUCAUAUUAUUCUGUCUUCUUUGCUUCUUUAACAGAUGUAAUUACGUUCACAGACUGAUUUAAUGUCCCAGAGCUGAAGCUAAUUCACAGAGACAGUGGGAUCCAGCAGGAAUGUCGGGACGUCAUUAGGACUCUAUGCACAAUGGGAAAGAAAAGUAUUUUAUAAUUGGAUUACUUUUGUAUAAUUUGGCAUAAACUCAUUUGUCCAUGCAAUUAAAGUGCUCAUACUGUUAAUUCUCAGAUUA